GGAGGACCGAACCGACUAAUGUUGAAAAAUUAGCGGAUGACUUGUGGCUGGGGGUGAAAGGCCAAUCAAACCGGGAGAUAGCUGGUUCUCCCCGAAAGCUAUUUAGGUAGCGCCUCGUGAAUUCAUCUCCGGGGGUAGAGCACUGUUUCGGCAAGGGGGUCAUCCCGACUUACCAACCCGAUGCAAACUGCGAAUACCGGAGAAUGUUAUCACGGGAGACACACGGCGGGUGCUAACGUCCGUCGUGAAGAGGGAAACAACCCAGACCGCCAGCUAAGGUCCCAAAGUCAUGGUUAAGUGGGAAACGAUGUGGGAAGGCCCAGACAGCCAGGAUGUUGGCUUAGAAGCAGCCAUCAUUUAAAGAAAGCGUAAUAGCUCACUGGUCGAGUCGGCCUGCGCGGAAGAUGUAACGGGGCUAAACCAUGCACCGAAGCUGCGGCAGCGACACUAUGUGUUGUUGGGUAGGGGAGCGUUCUGUAAGCCUGUGAAGGUGUACUGUGAGGUAUGCUGGAGGUAUCAGAAGUGCGAAUGCUGACAUAAGUAACGAUAAAGCGGGUGAAAAGCCCGCUCGCCGGAAGACCAAGGGUUCCUGUCCAACGUUAAUCGGGGCAGGGUGAGUCGACCCCUAAGGCGAGGCCGAAAGGCGUAGUCGAUGGGAAACAGGUUAAUAUUCCUGUACUUGGUGUUACUGCGAAGGGGGGACGGAGAAGGCUAUGUUGGCCGGGCGACGGUUGUCCCGGUUUAAGCGUGUAGGCUGGUUUUCCAGGCAAAUCCGGAAAAUCAAGGCUGAGGCGUGAUGACGAGGCACUACGGUGCUGAAGCGACAAAUGCCCUGCUUCCAGGAAAAGCCUCUAAGCAUCAGGUAACAUCAAAUCGUACCCCAAACCGACACAGGUGGUCAGGUAGAGAAUACCAAGGCGCUUGAGAGAACUCGGGUGAAGGAACUAGGCAAAAUGGUGCCGUAACUUCGGGAGAAGGCACGCUGAUAUGUAGGUGAAGCGACUUGCUCGUGGAGCUGAAAUCAGUCGAAGAUACCAGCUGGCUGCAACUGUUUAUUAAAAACACAGCACUGUGCAAACACGAAAGUGGACGUAUACGGUGUGACGCCUGCCCGGUGCCGGAAGGUUAAUUGAUGGGGUUAGCGGUAACGCGAAGCUCUUGAUCGAAGCCCCGGUAAACGGCGGCCGUAACUAUAACGGUCCUAAGGUAGCGAAAUUCCUUGUCGGGUAAGUUCCGACCUGCACGAAUGGCGUAAUGAUGGCCAGGCUGUCUCCACCCGAGACUCAGUGAAAUUGAACUCGCUGUGAAGAUGCAGUGUACCCGCGGCAAGACGGAAAGACCCCGUGAACCUUUACUAUAGCUUGACACUGAACAUUGAGCCUUGAUGUGUAGGAUAGGUGGGAGGCUUUGAAGUGUGGACGCCAGUCUGCAUGGAGCCGACCUUGAAAUACCACCCUUUAAUGUUUGAUGUUCUAACGUGGGCCCCUUACCGGGGUUGCGGACAGUGUCUGGUGGGUAGUUUGACUGGGGCGGUCUCCUCCUAAAGAGUAACGGAGGAGCACGAAGGUUGGCUAAUCCUGGUCGGACAUCAGGAGGUUAGUGCAAUGGCAUAAGCCAGCUUGACUGCGAGCGUGACGGCGCGAGCAGGUGCGAAAGCAGGUCAUAGUGAUCCGGUGGUUCUGAAUGGAAGGGCCAUCGCUCAACGGAUAAAAGGUACUCCGGGGAUAACAGGCUGAUACCGCCCAAGAGUUCAUAUCGACGGCGGUGUUUGGCACCUCGAUGUCGGCUCAUCACAUCCUGGGGCUGAAGUAGGUCCCAAGGGUAUGGCUGUUCGCCAUUUAAAGUGGUACGCGAGCUGGGUUUAGAACGUCGUGAGACAGUUCGGUCCCUAUCUGCCGUGGGCGCUGGAGAACUGAGGGGGGCUGCUCCUAGUACGAGAGGACCGGAGUGGACGCAUCACUGGUGUUCGGGUUGUCAUGCCAAUGGCACUGCCCGGUAGCUAAAUGCGGAAGAGAUAAGUGCUGAAAGCAUCUAAGCACGAAACUUGCCCCGAGAUGAGUUCUCCCUGACUCCUUGAGAGUCCUGAAGGAACGUUGAAGACGACGACGUUGAUAGGCCGGGUGUGUAAGCGCAGCGAUGCGUUGAGCUAACCGGUACUAAUGAACCGUGAGGCUUAACCUU
rnacentral:rRNA from 1 species